UACGUAGGGUGCGAGCGUUGUCCGGAAUUAUUGGGCGUAAAGAGCUUGUAGGCGGUUUGUCGCGUCUGCUGUGAAAAUCCGGGGCUCAACCCCGGACUUGCAGUGGGUACAGGCAGACUAGAGUGUGGUAGGGGAGACUGGAAUUCCUGGUGUAGCGGUGGAAUGCGCAGAUAUCAGGAGGAACACCGAUGGCGAAGGCAGGUCUCUGGGCCACUACUGACGCUGAGGAGCGAAAGCGUGGGGAGCGAACAGG
rnacentral:rRNA from 1 species